UGAGGAGGCCAUUCGGCCGCCGGCCCUCCGGCGCUUGCGCGACGGAGGGCGGGAGGAAAGUCCGGGCUCCGCAGGGCAGGGUGCCGGGUAAUCCCCGGUGGGGGCGACCCCGAGGACAGUGCCACAGAAAAGACACCGCCAUCCGGCCGGUCCGGCCGGGCGGCAAGGGUGAAAUGGUGAGGUAAGAGCUCACCGCGCGCCGGGCGACCGGCGCGGCACGGCAAACCCCACCCGGAGCAAGACCGAAUAGGAGGGCGACCCCGCGGGCGACCGCGGGGGAAGGGCGGCCCGCCCGGGGCCCUCGGGUCAAGGUCGCUGGAGGCGGGCGGAAACGCCCGUCCUAGAGAAAUGGCCGCACGCGGGGCGUUCCGACCGCGCACAGAACCCGGCUUACGGCCUCCUCAGGCU
rnacentral:RNase_P_RNA from 1 species